GAAAUGCGAUAAGUAAUGUGAAUUGCAGAAUUCAGUGAAUCAUCGAAUCUUUGAACGCACAUUGCGCCCCUUGGUAUUCCGAGGGGCAUGCCUGUUCGAGCGUCAUUAUAACCACUCAAGCCCUCGGCUUGGUCUUGGGGUUCGCGGUUUCGCGGCCCUUAAAAUCAGUGGCGGUGCCGUCUGGCUCUAAGCGUAGUAAUCCUCUCGCUAUAGGGUCCAGGUAACCACCUGUCAGAACCCCCCAUUCUUUAUGGUUGACCUCGGAUCAGGUAGGGAUACCCGCUGAACUUAA
rnacentral:misc_RNA from 1 species